UCCCCAAGAAUUUGGGUGGUUGCAAAUUCUGGACGAGCUCCCAACUGAAAGACCCCCAGAGUGGGGAGACCCUCACUCAAGUCU
rnacentral:pre_miRNA from 11 species